ensembl:lncRNA
GUCAAGAGCCGUGCCGACAUAUCGGGUCCCAGCAACAGCAGGGAGGGUGAUUGUGAACACAUCCAGGAGGGAGACCAAGCCUUGAAUUGCAGCAGAUGAAAGAAGCAGCCUUUGUGAUCAGAUGGAGAGGAAGAAUUCCUUCCUGACUUCAACCCUUGGAGAUCAGGAAACAAUUGGCUGUUACUUACAAUGCCAAGACGAUUACUGAACAACAGAUUCUCGCACCUAAUACUUGCUUCAUCUGACAACCCGGACUCAGGUGUGUGGCCAACUUUCUUUCGGAGCACACAGGAGUGCAUUGCUCUGUUACAACCUUCUUCCCAGAAUCCUGUGGGCUCGGAAUCCCAAGUGGUUUAAACAGAUGGGCGAUGAUACACUGACAGAUAUCUGGGAAAUAAGCUCUGUCAGUUAAUAAAACUUGUUGCUACUCAGUACUCUGACUCAUCCUAGAAAAAUGCCCUUUGCAUUGUCUUCUCUUGAACUAAUGGACAGCGGUCAUUAUUUUUCUAAGCUGCUAGAGCCCUUUAAAAUACAGAUAAAAUACUGAGGAAUUAAUGGGAAGCUUGGAAAUCCACAGUCUACUCUCAACCCUGGAAUCAGCUCAUUAAGCAGUAUAAAUGUAGUUGCACCAUAGCUCAGGUGGAGGAAUCUAAAAACAAUUCAGGAGGGUUUCAAAGCACUUUGAGACCCCAAUGGAAGAUAAUGCCCAGAUACAAUGCAUCUGGUUCCAUUCGUAUACCUAUUAUCCCUUACCUUUGUUCAUAUACAUGUUUAUCCACACCCAUCCAACACCUCCAUCCAAUAACUACUCACGUACUUCAUGUAGAGUCCUCAAACCAUUUAUUUUUAUCUCUCCACUGCUUAUUCAUCUGAAGCAACAUCAGUACACAGCCAUUGAAAUCGGCAGAAGCAUAAACACGAUCAGGAACUCUGAGAAUGUGGAAAAGUAAACUGAUGGCAAAGAAAAAUGAAUAGGAAAAAAGUCUGUUCAAUAGGAGGAGUUGAUGAGGAGUUGGUGAGAAGGAAGAAGGACAUUCACAGAAGUGGAGCAGCUUUGCUUGAUUGCAAGCAAACAUUUCAAAGCCACCAAUUUUGCUGAUGUUGCACAAGAGGAAUGCAGUGGCUCCUUUAGGUAUAAGUUCUAAAGGGCAAAGGUGAAUAAAAACCAGUUAGGGACUAAGCUGGAAUCACUGAGGCCGGCACAGUCCCAGAGAAAACCCAAUGGACUAUGGGGAAUACCUCUAUGCACCAUGUGAGACGCACAAAGCUUGUUUGUGCAGACACUCUUUGGAAAGGGAUUGUAUUUUUGUGAUGCGCUUUGGCUUCUUCCGUGUUCGUUGUUUUGUGGGUUUUUUUUUUUUUUUUGUAAAACCAAGUGGCAAUGGAUGCUGAAACAGAAGGCAGAGGAGUUUUAAAACAGGUCUGUGAAAACAGCUGGGUCUGUCUCUUCUUCUCAAGGCUGCUUCUGGGAAAAGUGCUGCAGUAGUGAGCUAUCUUCUGCAAACACAAGGCAUCAGGAGAGAAAGAAAGGUUUCCAGGAAAGAGAACCGAACCACCCAGCAAGGGUGAAGAAAAGGCUUACUCCGGGCCUGUAAACAUUUGAGAAACAAAAGUAGAAGCACAGGGAGAAAUCAUCUUGUCAUUCUCAGCUUUGCCACACGCUGGGGGAACAGCACAUUGUUCUCCAGCUGAACAAUGCCCCGUUCCCACCACGUGAGAUUUUCUCUCACUGGGAAAAGAAUGCGAGCUUUACUUUGCUUUAUUAUCAACUCUGUGCAUGUGGAGAUAACUGCACAGGCUGGUCGGUCCCUGAAAAGCAAAGAUGCAUUUUGAUCAAAAUUGGAUUACUGGGCAUUUCAUUUCUCCUUAAGAAUGGUUGUGAACUGAUUUCUCAUUUACUCAGUAUGCAAAAAAAUUAACAAAAUAAGAACUGUCAAGACAGAAUAAUGAUGUUGAAAAGAAAAAUAAAGCCCCCAAAAUUCCUGAAAAAUAAUUGGAAUGAAGCAGCUCCAAGUCAGAUUAGCCUUAAAUCUUCUUAUGAUGAAGGUUCUUGCAACCAAAGGCAAGUUAUUUCAUUAGGCUGGUUCUGCAUUUUUAAUACCCGGUCUGUCAACUUAACACAAUAUUUUUUGGUUAUCGGGGCAGCUUUUUAUUGCUAUAUAUUAACAACAUUGCAAUAGGUUUAAGAGUAGGAGUCCAUAGUCAAGGCAAUUACAGAAUUAAGUGCUCAGUCAAGUCCCAGUCAAACUGCGGUCAAAUGGGUUAAAGGGAGACGGACAGAGCUGCCAAUCCCAAAAUACAACCCAGCCUUCAGCCCAUCCUGCAGCCAAAGGAAUAGCACUCAGUUGACUUUAGCAGACUCUGCAAUGGAAAAUAUUUCUGUCCAGAACAAAAUUGGUCUGUAAUCUGGGUAAGCUAUUCAGAGCAAACAGUGGCAAAUUUAGCCCUUUCUCCUGUUUGUAAAUGGUCCAUGUACGGACUUUGUUUCUUGUAGUAGCUUUGCAUGUAUUCUUCUGACACAUACUAUAUAUAGAAAUAUUUUAGCAGACUAGCAACAUUGAUUAUGCCUUGUGCUAUCUAUGAUAGAUCAUGGUGAUCACUGGUCCUCUAGGUUAUGAUGUGAUUUAGCCACAGAGUCAAUAUGCAAAAAUAUUGGUGUAAGAUGUACUAAAUCAGAUCCUCAUGAAUUUUAAAGCCCAUGUCUGAAGCUCUUCCUCAAUCUAUUUACCAAAUCAGUAUGGCUGCUCCCAAAUUAAAGUGCUGUGCCCCAUAAGCAAGAAGAUCAAAAUUAUGAGCCAUCAUAAUCCUGCCUGCGCUAGUAAAUAAUAGAUGAUUCAGCUGUAACCUGAAAGCAGCUUUGGGAGCUAUAUUAUUAACAUUUCCAAAAGUUUUAUAAUGAUAUCAACCUUUAGUCCAGGUUGCCCAGAGCAGCUGUGGAUACCCCAUCCCUGGAGGCAUUCAAGGCCAGGUUGGACGGGGCCCUGGGCAGUCUGAGCUGGUGGGGGACAACCAGCCCAUGGCAGGAGUUGGAACUGAGUGAGCUUUAAGGUUCCUUCCAGCCCAAGACAUUCCAUGAUUCUCAAAGUAGCCCAGCAUGCUUGGCUGUAGAUCCUGAGCUCAGAAAAGUGGCCUAGGCUAGCAGAGAUUCAUCAGAGAUGUCCUCUUUAUUUUAAAUGUUUCAUCUGUAUUUUUGAAGGAUUCUUAGUGAUAAUAAGGUUACAAUACCUGGAAGAGAAAAGUCUACACGAAUGCCAAGCACCAGAGGGAUCCUAUAUGUUAGGGUCAAAUAUGGAGGCAAAUUCAAUUCAAAGAUUGCGAGGCUCAGCCUGAUGGCACUGAAACCUUCAAUGAUAUUUGCUACCCCGAGCCUAAUUUACUUAAAAAUUACAACUCAUGGACUUACAGAUUUCAUUUCUCUCAGGGAAAAUACCCACGUAGAUGACUGAAGGAUACCCACAUACUCAUUACACACAUUCAAGCAAAGGCAAAGUUGAUCUGUAAUCACAGAUAAACUAUUACCUGUGAGAUAUCCGAUUCUCAAGUAUGUCAGGGAAAGGAAAGCCCUGCAUGGGUCACGUUGACUUCUCAUCUCAACGUUUACAAACAUUUCUCCUCAGGAAGAAAAGUUUUCUUGCUGAUGUGCCACUCUCUUGCAAAAAAUAAAUAAAAAAAGAAAACAAUCCCCUUCUGCCGACAUUCCCUUCCGAGUCUGAGAACCUCUAUUGUCUUUUCUCUGGUAAUAAAUGAUAAUAAUUAAAGGCAAAUACACAAUAAUUAGUCACACUAGGUUUAUCCAUCUGGCAUACCUGUAUCUCAUCACUGUGUCUUUGAAACAGAUGACAAGCACCAUAUUGCACAACAUCCUGCUAAUGGGUCUGAGCAGGGGAAAAGAAGGUAAAAGGGUUACCACAAAAAGAAAAAAAAAAAAGAGAGAAAGUGAAAGAAAAAAAAAAAGGUCAGCAACAGGGAAUGAGAACAUUAUACAGCACUGAAAAAAUAGCCGUGGCUGACUGUCAAGUUACAAACCACUUACUGGCAGAUGUGCUUUCAAGUGGGGGUUAGGAAAACAUGGAAAUAUGCGUCACUGCUUAAACUACCUCCUGCUUAAGAUACCUGUACCUGACGUACCCAGUGUUGAAAUGAGGAACAUUUCCUGGAAUAUUUUAGCUGGCUAUGCAGAUGUAUGAGGGAAAAUGAGCUACUUUAAGAUCUUUGCUGGGAUACCUGAAAAGUUUGGGUUUCGUUCUGAGGAUAGCAUGUUAUGGAUCAGCUAUUUUGGUCCCUCUUCACUGAAGGCUGAUUGAUGCACACCAGGAGUCCCUCCUCAUCCCUAUCAGGGCAGCAGAGCAAAAUUAAUAUAGCAAAGAAUUUUUCAACAAAUAUUUACUCCUUUAAAAAAAUGAUCAGACAAGGCUGGCAUUUGAUUUCUGGGAACUUCUGAGAAGCAGAGAUUUACUUGUAUAAAUAAUCACAGAGAGCCAAUUUCAGUCACAUGUAUUCAGAUUUCGAUUAAACCUCCACAAGUGCUUCAGCUCUCAAGCAAGCAUCAGAAACUUGCAUGCACUGAGGGCUGAUAGUCUGCUGGUAAUGACUUUCUGGUUGCAGUGCAGCCAUGCCCAAGACAACUGUCACGGAGUUGGCCAAGAUACGUUACCUAGCUACACACAUGAAAAAACAAGCAAACAAAAGUGUUCCUGGCCAAAGCCUUUACAACCUAGAUAUAAGACAAGAAUCAAGUGGUUUUGUGCUUCCCUAGAUCUAGCCUGUCUGUCUGAGGCUUGCAUAGCUGCAAGCUAUCGGUUGGCAGAAGAAUACCCAAUAAUAUACCAUGAGGUAAAACAAAAAAUAAGUAGACCAUUGGUAAUUUAUACCCAUUACUCACCUAGGCUUCAAGGCAAAAUCGCACUCUGGAAACAUCAGGCUGCUCUGUUACCCUUGUUUUGGGAGGGUAUACAUCUGGCUAGGAUCUAGGGAACAUCUCAACAGGUUCUGUAGGUGUUAUUGAGCUCAAAGUCAUCCCAAGCUGUAACAUAUCUGAUGGGACUCCUAGCUGAUCAGCUGUCCUUCAUUGGGCAUUCUGGUCUCAGGAAGGCAAUACUGUGAUGAACAUGUUUGCCUGUGCUCAAGCCUGCAGAGUUUGGUAGAAACACUCAGGCAAAUUUGUUUUCAUGCAGCAGUUCCAGCACAAUAGGAACUCAGACCUAAUUAAAGAAAUUAGAAGAAUUAAAGAAAGUAAUGGAAAAUGUGAUGUUCUCCUAGCACUCUAUAUCUGACCGUACUGGCAGGAGGAAUGCAUUGCAAACUCUUUAGAAGGGUGGAUUUUUU